rnacentral:rRNA from 1 species
GUCCUAGCCGUAAACGAUGGACACUAGGUGUUGGUGGUAUCAACCCCGCCAGUGCCGAAGCUAACGCAUUAAGUGUCCCGCCUGGGGAGUACGGCCGCAAGGCUAAAACUCAAAGGAAUUGACGGGGGCCCGCACAAGCAGCGGAGCGUGGGGGUUUAAUUCGACGCAACGCGAAGAACCUUACCAGGACUUGACAUGACCAGGACCGCGGCGGAAACGUCGCUUCCCCGCAAGGGGCCUGGCCACAGGUGUUGCAUGGCUGUCGU